UACAGAGGAUGCAAGCGUUAAUCGGAAUUAUUGGGCGUAAAGCGCACGUAGGUGGUUAUGUAAGUCAGAUGUGAAAUCCCUGGGCUCAACCUGGGAACUGCAUUUGAAACUGGAUGACUAGAGUAUGGGAGAGGGAAGUGGAAUUUCUGGUGUAGCGGUGAAAUGCGUAGAUAUCAGAAGGAACACCAGUGGCGAAGGCGACUUCCUGGCCUAAUACUGACACUGAGGAGCGAAAGCGUGGGUAGCGAACAGG
rnacentral:rRNA from 1 species